GAAAUUAAAAAUGAAACUAAAACAACAGCAAAACUUUUCCACCUGAAAAUUAAAAAAAUUCUAUUAGACAACUUUUGGGUUAAUGAGGAAAUAGGAAAAACACUACAGAAGUUCUGAAAAAUUAUGAUAAUGAAAAGGCUAUAAAUCAAGAGCAUAUAUUUCUAUUUUAAGAAGCAAGCAGUGAUCAGAAAAAAUUCAUAGCCCUAAACACCUAUAUCAAGUAAACAUUUUGAAUGAAAAUAAAUGAAUUAGAUCCCAAUUCAGAAAUCUAGGAAAAAGUAACAAUAAAAUAAGCUAAGUGAAAGCACAAAAGAUAAAUGCAGAGAUUAUGUUGAGAGUGAAAACAAAAAUAGUAGAUCAAAUCUGUUAAUCAAAAUUCUGGUCCUUUGGGAAAAAAGUACAGAAGGGAUCACUAAUAAAGGAGAUUUGAUGACAGAAUCAGAGUCAGAGAGAGAGAGGGAAGGAGGGAAGAGAAGGAGAGAGGAAGGAGAGUGAGAGAUUAAUUUGAAGAUGCUACCCUGCUGGCUUUGAAGAUGAAGAGGCCAUAAGCCCACUAUGCAGGCAGCCUCUAGACACUGGAAAAGCAGGAAAUGGAUUCUUCCUGGGGCUUCCAGAAGAAAUGCAGCCCUUCUCCUGGGUCAGUCAGUCAGUCAGUUCAGUUGCUCAGUUGUGUCCGACUCUUUGCAACUCCAUGAAUCGCAGCACGCCAGGCCUCCUUGUCCAUUACCAACUGCCAGAGUUCACUCAAACUCACAUCCAUCGAGUCAGUGAUGCCAUCCAGCCAUCUCAUCCUCUGUCGUCCCCUUCUCCUCCUGCCCCCAAUCCCUCCCAGCAUCAGAGUCUUUUCCAAUGAGUCAACUCUCACAUGAGGUGGCCAGAGUUUCAGCUUUAGCAUCAUUCCUUCCAAAGAAUACCCAGGACUGAUCUCCUUUAGAAUGAAGUGAAGUGAAGUGAAGUCGCUCAGUCAUGCCCGACUCUUUGCACCCCAUGGACUGUAGCUACAAGGCUCCUCUGUCCAUGGAAUUUUCCAGGCAAGAGUACUGGAGUGGGUUGCCGUUUCUUUCCCCAGGACUGGUACAAUUACUGAGUCACAUGGUAACCUAUGCUUAACCAUUUGAGGAACCGUGCCUAAGACUGUUUUCCAAGGUGGCUGCACCAUUUUACAUCUCCACCAGCAGUGUUUUGAGUGUUCCAGUUCCUCCACAUCUUCACCAAUGCUUGCUGUUGUCUGUCUUGUUUUAUUAUAUCCAUCCUAGUCAGGGGUGAAGUGAUAACUAAUGAUAUUGAGCAUCUUUUAAAGUGCUUGUUGACCAUUUGUGUAUCUUCUCUGAAGAAAUGCCUGUUCUAAUUCUUUCCUCAUUUAAAAAUUUGUCUCUUUUAUUAAUAAGUUGAGUUGUAAGAGUUCUUGAUGAAUUCUUGAUACAAGUCUUGUUCCUUUGUUUUGAACGUUUUUGCCUGAUUGUUCAUUUUAUUGACUUUUUGUGUUUGUAUCUGUACAUUGGACAAAACAGGUGCCUCUUCCAGUCUUCAUGGGCUAGUCUUGGAAAGGAGAAAACUCCCAUCAGUCAGCCCAGUUAGAGAUUCUGGAGGGUUUCUACCAACUCUUCCCUCCUCAGGGGAAGCAGCUUGCUGCUGUUUUGCCAGCUGAGUGGGAGGUGGUGGUGUGCUACGGCAUCUGUCAGUCCAAACCAUUGAAUCUGUUCUCUGCCAGGCAGCUAGACUGUGUGCACCUGUCAGAGAUCAAGACUGAUGCUAAUGCUUUGGGCAGUCCUGGAGAAGUUGGGUCUGUGGACACACAGAUCAACUCUUUCCCUCCCUAGAGGGUGCUGACCUCUGGGGUUUCUCAUCUACUCAUUCUCUGCUAGGCAGAGGGCAGGUCUGUGGCAUCUGCCAGCCCAAGCCCCCAUGUCUGUUUUUCCCCAGGCAGCUAAACUGUUCCAGAUGUGUCAGAGCUCCAGGACUGGCAAACAGAGCUAGUCAGGAGUUUGCUGUUGGUCCAGUGGUUAGGACUGGAGGCUUUCACUGCUGUGGGCCUGAUUCAGCCUCUGAUGGGGAACUAAGAUCCUGCAAGCCUCAUGGCCAAAAAAAAAAAAAGCAGCAGCUAGUCCUCUGAGGAGGUCGCUUGUAAGAGCUGAGGUGUUGAAUGUGUAAGCCAAGCCCUUCCUUCCUGCAGUAAGCAGGGGUGAGGGGUCUCUUCCUGAUCUCUCAGUGCUGUGCCGGAUGCAGGGACUUCAGCGAGAGGGAGCCCUGAAUUUCCUGCUGCCUUCUGUUGCAUCUAGUUUUGGGUUCUCCCAGAUGUGGGAGCUUUUCGGUUAGUUUCUGAAUUAUACAUAAAGCAACUUUGUCUGUGAACUGCUGAUGAAUUGGUGUGUUUGUUGGGGAGGAAGUUCUAGGGCUUCCUCUGCCACCAUUUUGCUGACUUCACUCUCAAUUCAGCUCAAAGAACCUCGUUUAAUGUUUAUAUAAACCAAGAUGAAACUCAAAAGUUCACUGUUCUUUCCAAAAUUCAAUUAUUUUCUUGAAUAAAGACUCUUCAGAUUGCUGCAUGCUUUUGGCUAAUGUCCAGAAAAGAGUAUGGCUGUUUCUGCUAGUCCUGAUGCUUUCCUGGAGGAGUAGAUUUUCAGAGGUUUUCAUCCCACCAUUCCAGAAGUGCUUCUUCCCUUUGUUAUUGAAAAGCUCCGGAAGAUCUGUAUCAGAUCUGAUCUUCCAUUAGAAAAAUAUAUAGUAGGAGCUAUAUAUUAAAUUUAUUGCAAGCAUUGGUUAUUGCGAUUGUGGAAACUGUUUAGCUAAGUCCACAACUCACAGGGCAGAGUCUCAGGCAGGAUGGGCUAGAGUUCUUCGGCAUGAGCAGAAGCUGCUGUCCACAGAUACAAUUUCUUCUUCUGGGAAACUUAAGUUCUGCCCUUAAGGCCUUUCAGCUUAAUUGAAUCAGGCCCACCCAGGUUGUCUAUGAUAAUCUUUCUUGAAGUAAAUUGAUUAUAGACUUAAAUCCCAUCUACAAAUUACCUUCACAGCAACACCUGGAUUAGUGUUUGAUUGUUUUAUCUGAUCUCUGGGAAGCCAUGGGAGUGAGUCUCAGAAGGCCACAGGUUUCAAGAGCUAUUAAUACAAACAAGGCAAGCCGACCAUGACUGCCCGAAUCAGAUGAAGUAUAAAGGUAUAGGAAGCAGUGAAUCCACAUGCACUGAAUGGAAGGAAAUUGAACAGGACUUCUAAAAGUCUGGGAAACUUGAAAGUAGCAGUGAUGGGAUGCAGUGCAGAGAACUCAAAGACCACCUGGCUCUGUGACUCAGUACCUCAGAGCUUCCCAACCUGAGCUUCAGUGUUCUCAGCUGUGAAAGGAGAAUAGUAAUAAUAGCAAAACCCUGGGUAUGAGCUUUAAAUGAGAGAAAGUGAAGGAAAAUGCUUUAUGAACUGUAAAGCAUAAUGUAAACACCUGAUUCAUAAUGUAAACACCAAAUUCAUCAGAAUUACUAAGUUUCAGCACACUGAUGAUGUAAACACCAUUUUACAUAACAUUAUUUAGAAUAGUCAAGAAGACUGGACAAAACUGAUAGCAUCUACACAGUGAUGGCAUAGAUAUCCUCCACCCACAUGGAAACAGUGGAUGUGAGGCCCAUCAGUGAAUCCCAGAUGCCCCUGAGGUUGGUCUCUAGAGCUGUGAUCAGUUUUGACAAUUCACUUGUGUAUUUUAGCAUUGUUUGCUGCUUCUUGUUUUUGGUCGAAAGAGGCAGUGCUUAGUUUAUGGCAUUUUGUUUAGUUAAAACUAAGUAAAGUUCAUGUAGAAAAAUAUAUAGUAGGAGCUAUAUAUUAAAUUUAUUGCAAGCAUUGGUUAUUGCGAUUGUGGAAACUGUUUAGCUAAGUCCACAACUCACAGGGCAGAGUCUCAGGCAGGAUGGGCUAGAGUUCUUCGGCAUGAGCAGAAGCUGCUGUCCACAGAUACAAUUUCUUCUUCUGGGAAACUUAAGUUCUGCCCUUAAGGCCUUUCAGCUUAAUUGAAUCAGGCCCACCCAGGUUGUCUAUGAUAAUCUUUCUUGAAGUAAAUUGAUUAUAGACUUAAAUCCCAUCUACAAAUUACCUUCACAGCAACACCUGGAUUAGUGUUUGAUUGUUUUAUCUGAUCUCUGGGGAAGCCAUGGGAGUGAGUCUCAGAAGGCCACAGGUUUCAAGAGCUAUUAAUACAAACAAGGCAAGCCGACCAUGACUGCCCGAAUCAGAUGAAGUAUAAAGGUAUAGGAAGCAGUGAAUCCACAUGCACUGAAUGGAAGGAAAUUGAACAGGACUUCUAAAAGUCUGGGAAACUUGAAAGUAGCAGUGAUGGGAUGCAGUGCAGAGAACUCAAAGACCACCUGGCUCUGUGACUCAGUACCUCAGAGCUUCCCAACCUGAGCUUCAGUGUUCUCAGCUGUGAAAGGAGAAUAGUAAUAAUAGCAAAACCCUGGGUAUGAGCUUUAAAUGAGAGAAAGUGAAGGAAAAUGCUUUAUGAACUGUAAAGCAUAAUGUAAACACCUGAUUCAUAAUGUAAACACCAAAUUCAUCAGAAUUACUAAGUUUCAGCACACUGAUGAUGUAAACACCAUUUUACAUAACAUUAUUUAGAAUAGUCAAGAAGACUGGACAAAACUGAUAGCAUCUACACAGUGAUGGCAUAGAUAUCCUCCACCCACAUGGAAACAGUGGAUGUGAGGCCCAUCAGUGAAUCCCAGAUGCCCCUGAGGUUGGUCUCUAGAGCUGUGAUCAGUUUUGACAAUUCACUUGUGUAUUUUAGCAUUGUUUGCUGCUUCUUGUUUUUGGUCGAAGAGGCAGUGCUUAGUUUAUGGCAUUUUGUUUAGUUAAAAACUAAGUAAAGUUCAUGUAGGAAAAUAUUAAAGAAAAAAUUAUUUCAGUGUUAAACACUCAGUGUUUGAUUUGGAGGACUUUGUGUUUGACAGUGUGAGGAUAUUUUGGUUUCCGUGCCCAGCGCUGCAUCUGCAUUCACUGCAGAAACAUGUUCUAUUCACUCUGAUUAUUCAUUUAUUUCAGAGACUUAGAAAGACGUGCUCAUUUUCAGGAAAUCAACUCCACAGUCAAGGGUGGGGAGAGGAGGGUUUGGUGGGAGAAGAAUGAGUUGUUGUUCAGUCACUAAAUCAUGUCUGACUCUGCGACCUUGUAGACUGCAGCACGCCAGGUACCUCUGUUCUCUACUAUCUCCCAGAGUUUGCUCAAAUUCCUGUCCAUUGGGUUGGUCAUGCUAUCUAACCAUCUGAUCCUCUGCUGUCCACUUCUCCUUUUGCCUUCAAUCUUUCCCAGCAUCAGGGUCUUUUCCAAUGAGUCAGCUCGUCACAUCAGGUGGCCAUAGUAUUGGAGCUUCAGCAACAGUCCUGCCAAUGAAUAUUCAGGGUUGAUUUUUAGGAUUGACUGAUUUUAUCUCCUUGCGGACCAAGGAACUCUCAAGAGUCUUCUACAGCACCAAAUUUUGAAGGCAUCAAUUCUUCAGCAUUCAGCCUUCUUUAU
rnacentral:lncRNA from 1 species